AGGGAUAUAGCUCCAUGUUAGAGCAUUUGACUGCAGAUCAAGAGGUCUCCAGUUCAAAUCCGCGUGCACCCU
rnacentral:tRNA from 1 species